AAUCAACGCUGGCGGCGUGCCUCAGACAUGCAAGUCGAACGAUUAAAGCUCUCUUCGGAGAGUGCAUAGAGUGGCGCACGGGUGAGUAACACGUAAGUAAUCUACCUUCGAGUGGGGAAUAACGUCCGGAAACGGACGCUAAUACCGCAUAAUGCAGCGGCAUCGUAAGAUGACAGUUGUUAAAGAUUUAUCGCUUGAAGAGGAGCUUGCGGCAGAUUAGCUAGUUGGUAAGGUAAUGGCUUACCAAGGCUACGAUCUGUAACCGGUCUUAGAGGACGGUCGGUCACACUGACACUGAAUAACGGGUCAGACUCCUACGGGAGGCAGCAGUCGGGAAUUUUGGGCAAUGGGCGAAAGCCUGACCCAGCAACGCCGCGUGAAGGAUGAAGUAUUUCGGUAUGUAAACUUCGAGAGAAUAGGAAGAAUAAAUGACGGUACUAUUUAUAAGGUCCGGCUAACUACGUGCCAGCAGCCGCGGUAAU
rnacentral:rRNA from 1 species